UAUAAUCUUUGUCAAUAAUAAUAGUCGUACAAGGUCAGUGCGCGUGCGACGCUGAGUCGACUUGUGUUUAUACUCACAGCUGAUGAUUGCGUCAUCGCGCUAAUGUGUAGGCGGUAUUCUUGGCUUAAUUAAUAACAGGUUGAUAUCACACGGUGCAUUUACGAGUAUAUUGAUAGUAGUUUUGUGUGAUGAAAUGACCGUGGCGGGUAGACGUCGUCGUGGUGCGCGUGGUGGUGCGGCGUGAGCGCGGGCGACGCGGGCCGGUGCGGCGCCGGCGCGGGCGGCGGCGGCGCUGACUCGCUGCACACUAAGGGGACAACAUUGCUAUUCAAAUAUAAACACAGUGGCACCGCGCAGUGGCAGUUACCCACAGUCCUCAAUAAGUUAUUUUACUAAUAUUAGCAAAAGAAAUACUAUAUGAAAAUUAAAAGCUUACUAGUCUUACCGAAAAUUAGAACCAACUAUGGCAAAAAAACCUGACUUUUGAAGGAGCACAACUUUACAACAAGAUACCGCCUUGUAUAAGAAAGCUAAACUCUUUUAGUGCAUUCAAAACCCAACUUAGCGAACACAUAAUUGCAAAUCAAUCACUUAGGGGAAAUGAUUGCAUUAGAUGGGUGAAUUUAUUCGUUUAUGUAAGUAGUCUGUACCUGAUCGAUGAUGAUGAACUGUAUAUAAAAUUUAUUUUCUUAGUAUUGUUCUCAAGUAAGUGACAUUGUAUGUUUUUAUUGAGAAUAAAGUUUCUUAAACCCGAAA